rnacentral:rRNA from 1 species
CGUGGGUAACCUGCCCAAGAGAUCGGGAUAACACCUGGAAACAGAUGCUAAUACCGGAUAACAACAGAUGAUGCCUAUCAACUGUUUUAAAAGAUGGUUCUGCUAUCACUCUUGGAUGGACCUGCGGUGCAUUAGCUAGUUGGUAGGGUAACGGCCUACCAGGGCGAUGAUGCAUAGCCGAGUUGAGAGACUGAUCGGCCACAUUGGGACUGAGACACGGCCCAAACUCCUACGGGAGGCAGCAGGG